UACGUAGGGGGCAAGCGUUGUCCGGAAUCAUUGGGCGUAAAGCGCGCGUAGGCGGCCCGGUAAGUCCGCUCUGAAAGUCCAGGGCUCAACCCUGGAAAGCGGGUGGAUACUGCCGGGCUAGAAUCCGGAAGAGGCGAGUGGAAUUCCUGGUGUAGCGGUGGAAUGCGCAGAUAUCAGGAGGAACACCAAUAGCGAAGGCAGCUCGCUGGGACGGUAUUGACGCUAAGGCGCGAAAGCGUGGAGAGCAAACAGG
rnacentral:rRNA from 1 species